UACGGGGGGAGCAAGCGUUGUUCGGAUUUACUGGGCGUAAAGGGCGCGUAGGCGGCCUGUGCAAGUCAGUUGUGAAAUCUCCGAGCUUAACUCGGAAAGGUCAACUGAUACUGCUCGGCUAGAGUGCGGAAGGGGCAACUGGAAUUCUUGGUGUAGCGGUGAAAUGCGUAGAUAUCAAGAGGAACACCUGCGGCGAAGGCGGGUUGCUGGGCCGAUACUGACGCUGAGGAGCGAAAGCGUGGGGAGCAAACAGG
rnacentral:rRNA from 1 species